rnacentral:tRNA from 1 species
GGGAGUGUAGCUAAGUGGUAGAGCAUGUGCUUAGCACUCCUGAAGCCCUGGUUCAAUCUCCAGCACCCCCC